rnacentral:tRNA from 1 species
GAGGGUAGAGCUCAGGGGUAGAGCACGUGCUUAGCACGCACGAGGUCCUGGGUUCGGCCCCCAGUACCUCCA